AAUGACGUCACAACUGAGCCGAAUGACAUUCAAGGUGUAAAUGAAGUUUUGAAUUCAGAAAUUACCGCAGAAGAGAUUAGCAAGUGUAUACGAGAAUUGAAAAACGGAAAGGCCAGUGGCGAUGAUUUAAUAAUCAAUGAAUUUAUUAAAAGCACAUCACACAUUUUUAUACCCGUUUAUGUGAAACUUUUUAAUAUGAUUUUUGAUUCUGGUACUUUGCCUGAAAUAUGGCUUAUGGGAAAUAUUAUACCUUUUUAUAAAAACAAG
rnacentral:lncRNA from 1 species